rnacentral:tRNA from 1 species
UGCAUAGCUCAGCUGGUCAGAGCAUGGUGCUAGUAACACCAAGGUUGCAGGUUCGAUCCCUGUAUUGGGACAG